ACUCCCAAAAUACUAUUCACAUCAGAUUGUAGCUCAGGUACAGAUAUUUUUCGUCUGCCCUUCUGAACGUCCGAUUGAGCUCAAAUUUGGCAGUCAUGCUCGGUCUAACCUUACUUAACGAAAGAAAUUUUAAUCUUUCAGUUUCGACCCCGUUUGGUCACCGAAAGCUGUACCGAACUGUAAUCUUUAUCAGAUAACUGUCGGAUUUUAUUUUUCACCUUCCGAAUGUCAGAAUGACAUGAAACCUUAAAUCUAGCCUCAUAAAAAUAAUUCUGACAUAUUCCCAGAUUUUCGGAAUUUUCUGACACUAUGCAUUUUCUGCUAAAAUAACAGCAUCGAUUCAUACAGAAAAUUCAAAAUCUUCUGUUCUCGCUUCGAUUUCCGCACGAGUCGUUCCCGACUUAUAUUUUACUUCUAUAAGUCCAAUAAAAAUAGUAUCUCACACUAUUUUUAUUUAUUUUUAUCCUUAUUUUAAAAUUCGGUAUGCUACAGUUUUGGCUCUGUGUAGAUUAUCGCGAGUUGAACAAGGUCACAAUCAAGAACAAGUACCGUUACCGAGGAUUAACGAUCUGUUUGAUCAAUUGCAAGGAUCUCGGGUUUAUU
rnacentral:lncRNA from 1 species